GGGUAGUCGUGUAUGUUCCCCUCCUCCCCCCGGCCUCGUGGUCGGCUGCGGUUACAGCAUUUUUGCUCCGCGUCGCCGGCGCCGCCCCUUGGCAGAGACCAAGCCUGGCAGCCAAAGCCCCACAGGCGAAGGCGAGGAGGCGCUGAGGGCGGGCGUGCCAGUGGUAAUGCACGUGCCGCUGAAAAUGGGGUCGGUACUUGCGCUGCACCUGCAGCCCCGCCCUCCUAUAAACAGACUGGCAGCUCCUGGAGGCGAAAGGCUAAAUGUUAAAUACACCAGAGCAGCGUCAGCACGUGUCAGGUGUUAUCGCCAAUAAUGCAACGUCGGCCUUGCUGGAGCCAGCCUAGCAAUAACUCCAGAAGCUUGAUUUUCAUCACUGGCCAUCACUCCUCUGAUUGGCUGCCUUCCCUACCUACCUGUCUCCUGUGGAGGAGCAGCCAAUCAUAAUACCACCUAGCUCUUGCAUCUUCAUUAGAAAGCGCUCAAAGUUCUUUACAAAGGAGAGCCCAAGGAAUGCACAGAGACGUGCCAGCAGCCAGCUGCUUCCGGGAGCGACGUGGGUCCAGCGCAGGCAAGCAGCCUGUCUGAGCCCUGCUGCGCUGCCAGCUGGGAGACGCCUGUGCUCAAGAAAGAGACGAGGACGGACUGGACGUAAUUUAUGCUGCAUGUGUUUGUCUGCCAGAAGAAGAUGAUAAAAUGUUUAAAUAAUCAAAACAGGCUUGUAGUCUUAUAUAUUGUUAUUUGCUGUUGAACUAAGCUGUCAAAGGCCCAUUCAGCAGUGGGGGGUCCACUGUGGUAGGCACUGUACAAAGAGAGGAAAACAAGGUCCCUGCCCUUAAUGGUUUAUAAUCUAAUUUGAAAAUAUGUUUUUAGAGUUUAAUCUUUGUUUUUAUUUUCAGAUACAAAGACAGAUUAGGGUAUUUGUCUGUUAGUGUAUGGUCUUGCAUACGGAGUUAGGAGCAGCUAGGGUGGCCAGAAUUUACCAACAUAAGAACAAAGAGAUGUUCGAUGUAUCAAAUAAAAUGACUAUUCCCUUGCCUGACAUUAGUUGCUUGCACCUCCCUACAAUGAAAUCUAAUAACUAUGUCUUAAUUUGAUAGGACACACAAUAUGCCAUCUGGAUAUACACUAUUAAUCCCUAGGGCACCCAGGUUAAGAGAAUGAAAAUAUUUAUUUUCUGCUUUGUGCAUCCGUCAGAUCAUGCAAAACAAGGCUUUGAUUACAAAAUAAUUACACAAGGCAACCAUAAAUAACAACAUACGUGGAAUUAGUUUGCUUCACAUACACUAAAUCAGUGGUUCUCAACCAGGGGUAGUUUACAACAGGUGAAAUCAGUACAAACUAAAAUUUCAUACACA